UACGUAGGUGGCAAGCGUUGUUCGGAAUUAUUGGGCGUAAAGGGCGCGUAGGCGGUUUGUUAAGUCGGCUGUGAAAGCCUGGGGCUCAACCCCAGAGGGUCGGCCGAUACUGGCAGACUAGAGUACGGAAGAGGUAGCUGGAAUUCCCGGUGUAGCGGUGAAAUGCGCAGAUAUCAGGAGGAACACCGGUGGCGAAGGCGGGUCUCUGGGCAGUAACUGACGCUGAGGAGCGAAAGCAUGGGGAGCGAACAGG
rnacentral:rRNA from 1 species